GGCAACUUGGCCGAGCGGUCUAAGGCGCCACGUUAAGGAUACCCUUAAUCGCAAUCAUCUUGGUCUAUCAGGUCUUGAUAAGUAGUUCCGUGGUCCGAAAGUGCGUGAGUUCGAAUCCUCACAGUUGUCA